CUAACUGGAGGACCGAACCGACUAAUGUUGAAAAAUUAGCGGAUGACUUGUGGCUGGGGGUGAAAGGCCAAUCAAACCGGGAGAUAGCUGGUUCUCCCCGAAAGCUAUUUAGGUAGCGCCUCGUGAACUCAUCUCCGGGGGUAGAGCACUGUUUCGGCAAGGGGGUCAUCCCGACUUACCAACCCGAUGCAAACUGCGAAUACCGGAGAAUGUUAUCACGGGAGACACACGGCGGGUGCUAACGUCCGUCGUGAAGAGGGAAACAACCCAGACCGCCAGCUAAGGUCCCAAAGUCAUGGUUAAGUGGGAAACGAUGUGGGAAGGCCCAGACAGCCAGGAUGUUGGCUUAGAAGCAGCCAUCAUUUAAAGAAAGCGUAAUAGCUCACUGGUCGAGUCGGCCUGCGCGGAAGAUGUAACGGGGCUAAACCAUGCACCGAAGCUGCGGCAGCGACGCUUAUGCGUUGUUGGGUAGGGGAGCGUUCUGUAAGCCUGUGAAGGUGUACUGUGAGGUAUGCUGGAGGUAUCAGAAGUGCGAAUGCUGACAUAAGUAACGAUAAAGCGGGUGAAAAGCCCGCUCGCCGGAAGACCAAGGGUUCCUGUCCAACGUUAAUCGGGGCAGGGUGAGUCGACCCCUAAGG
rnacentral:rRNA from 1 species